CAACUAACUGAAGUUCCUUCCUUGGAACCGUCUUCAGCGAGAGGAAUCGGUCCAGUAUGUUAAUUGCAAGGUAAAGGCUCUCAGGCAUAAGCUCAAAUUUCCUGUGAACUUCUAUUAACCAGUCCACUAAAAUGGCUCUCAUCUUGUGAUUGAGCGAGAGGAAUCGAUCCAGUAUGUUAAUUGCAAGGUAAAGGCUCUCAGGCAUAAGCUCAAAUUUCCUGUGAACUUCUAUUAACCAGUCCACUAAAAUGGCUCUCAUCUUGUGAUUCAGGUCUGGCUGAAAGUUCAUGUAAUCAUCCACUCGAUUUUCACCCUGGAUCAGACAAUCACAGAGAAAUGAGAUUCUAAACAGAAAUAGAACAAGAGAAUGAGAUUCACAACUAUACCUC
rnacentral:lncRNA from 1 species